rnacentral:rRNA from 1 species
CAAUACGGCAGCGGCAGACGGGAGAGUAACACGUGGGAACGCGCCCUUCGGUUCGGAAUAACUCAGGGAAACUUGAGCUAAUACCGGAUACGCCCUUACGGGGAAAGAUUUAUUGCCGAAGGAACGGCCCGCGUCCGAUUAGCUAGUUGGUGAGGUAAUGGCUCACCAAGGCAACGAUCGGUAGCUGGUCUGAGAGGAUGACCAGCCUCACUGGGACUGAGACACGGCCCAG